CCUGGCAAAAAUAGUGUAGUGGUACCACCUGAAUCCAUUCCGAACUCAGAAGUGAAACGCUUUCACGCCGAUGGUAGUACGGG
rnacentral:rRNA from 1 species